rnacentral:rRNA from 1 species
GAUCCUGGCUCAGGAUGAACGCUAGCUACAGGCUUAACACAUGCAAGUCGAGGGGCAGCAUGGUCUUAGCUUGCUAAGGCCGAUGGCGACCGGCGCACGGGUGAGUAACACGUAUCCAACCUGCCGUCUACUCUUGGACAGCCUUCUGAAAGGAAGAUUAAUACAAGAUGGCAUCAUAAGUUCGCAUGUUCACAUGAUUAAAGGUAUUCCGAUAGACGAUGGGGA